rnacentral:rRNA from 1 species
AUAACGGUCCUAAGGUAGCGAAAUUCCUUGUCAGGUAAGUUCUGACCCGCACGAAUGGCGUAACGAUUUGGGCACUGUCUCAACAGCCCGCCCGGCGAAAUUGUUGUACUGGUGAAGAAGCCAGUUACCCGCAACUAGACGGAAAGACCCCAUGGAGCUUUACUGCAGCUUAAUACUGAAGAUUGGUAAUGCAUGUACAGGAUAGGUGGGAGCCUGAGAAACAGGGGCGUCAGCUUCUGCGGAGGCAGCCUUGGAAUACCACCCUUGUAUUGCUGGUUUUCUAACCUGCGGCCGUGAAUCCGGUCGGGGGACACUGUUAGGCGGGCAGUUUGACUGGGGCGGUCGCCUCCAAAAGAGUAACGGAGGCGCUCAAAGGUUGGCUCAGCACGGACGGAAAUCGUGCAAAGAGUGCAAACGCAGAAGCCAACUUGACUGCGAGACCGACGGGUCGAGCAGGUACGAAAGUAGGAGUUAGUGAUCCGGUGGUAUGUGAGUGGAAAUGCCAUCGCUCAACGGAUAAAAGCUACCCUGGGGAUAACAGGCUGAUCUCCCCCAAGCGUCCACAGCGACGGGGAGGUUUGGCACCUCGAUGUCGGCUCGUCACAUCCUGGGGCUGAAUUAGGUCCCAAGGGUUCGGCUGUUCGCCGAUUAAAGUGGCACGCGAGCUGGGUUCAGAACGUCGUGAGACAGUUCGGUCCCUAUCUGUUGCGGGCGCAGGAGAUUUGAAGGGAGCUGUCCCUAGUACGAGAGGACCAGGAUGGACAGACCUCUGGUGCACCAGUUGUCGUGCCAACGGCACAGCUGGGUAGCUACGUCUGGACGAGAUAAACGCUGAAGGCAUCUAAGCGUGAAACUCCCCCUAAGAUAAGAUCUCCCAUCCGAAAGGAGUAAGGGACGACGUGGACUAUGUCGUUGAUAGGCCGGAGGUGUAAGCACGGUAACGUGUUCAGCUGACCGGUACUAAUAACCCGAGGGCUUGACCUA